rnacentral:rRNA from 1 species
UACGUAGGGUGCAGGCGUUACUCGGAAUUACUGGGCGUAAAGCGUGCGCAGGCGGUUUGCUAAGACAGGUGUGAAAUCCCCGGGCUUAACCUGGGAACUGCGCUUGUAACUGGCAAGCUUGAGUGUGGCAGAGGGGGGUGGAAUUCCACGUGUAGCAGUGAAAUGCGUAGAGAUGUGGAGGAACACCGAUGGCGAAGGCAGCCCCCUGGGCUAACACUGACGCUCAUGCACGAAAGCGUGGGGAGCAAACAGG